UUAUGGCUCAGAACGAACGCUGGCGGCGUGCUUAACACAUGCAAGUCGAACGCGAACGGGACUUCGGUCCUUAGUAGAGUGGCGCACGGGUGAGUAACGCGUAGAUAACCUAUCUUCCUGUCUGGAAUAAUACGCCGAAAGGAGUACUAAUACCGGAUAUUCUUGCUUUUUCAUAAGUAUAGCAAGCAAAGGUGGCCUCUGUAUAUGCUACUGCAGGGAGAGGGGUCUGCGUACCAUUAGCUAGUAGGUGGGGUAAGGGCCUACCUAGGCUACGAUGGUUAGCGGGUCUGAGAGGAUGAUCCGCCACACUGGCACUGGAACACGGGCCAGACUCCUACGGGAGGCAGCAGUGAGGAAUAUUGCGCAAUGGGGGCAACCCUGACGCAGCGACGCCGCGUGAGUGAAGGAAGGCCUUCGGGUCGUAAAGCUCUGUCAAGAGGAAAGAAGUGCAUAGCGGUUAAUACCCGUUAUGUUUGACGGUACCUCUAAAGGAAGCACCGGCUAACUCCGUGCCAGCAGCUGC
rnacentral:rRNA from 1 species